rnacentral:lncRNA from 1 species
UGGCGGGAAAUCGAGCAAAACAAAAACAUGUCCCGAAGUGAGGUUAGGUGUACGCUUCCUGGGACUUAAUGAUCCUUUUCUACUUAAAGUUUAAGUUUCAAUUGUAUCUGUUUCGCAGCAUUUCAGCUAAAAUUCUUUGAUUUAAAUAGUUGGCGUGAGCUUUUUUCAUUACCAAAGUUUCGGUCAUGUUUUUUUAGAUAGAGUAAAUUAUUUGUGAAGAUCUAGGAACACCAUGGACCCAACAAACUCCAUCUCAGAGGGAGUUUUUGCAUUCAAUCCAAAACCAAAGAAGAAUACAAAAAAUAGAAAAGCACCGAAUGAAUUCGCCUUCUUCAAACACGAUGAGUGGUAUAAGUCGUUUGAUUCUGUUUGGAGUGAGAUUCACCAAAAAGUUGUCGAGGAAGAAAACAAAAUAACAUCUGAGCUCCAGUCAAAAGUCAAUAAGUUUGCUCACUCAGCCGAAUCAAGCGCUGACACCAUUCCCACUAUAAUUAUGCUCACAGGUAGGGUACAAUUGCUAUUGCAAUACAUUUGUACACAUUUCCAAAUUCGACUCCGUUUUUUGUUCUGAAUUCACUCUCCUUCCUCCAAGAAGAAUAAAAGAAAAAGAAAACGGAAAUAUACUCAAGUCGAGUAGAGCAUUACAAUAAUUUCAGUACAGUUUACAAUAAUUAAAGAAUUUUCCUUGUGUCCCACAUCUUGCUCGACAAGUCAGUGAGUCCGAUAUGUCAAGACAAAAGUGUAAGUAAUUAAAAGUGUAAAGUGGCAAAGUGUAAUUUUGCCAAACAAUACAUUUUUGACUUUUGAAACAAAUUAGAUUACUUCAAAUAUUUGAUUCAAUCUACGGGAUGCAAGUUUCUCUUGUGGGUGGAAAGUUUGAAUCAUCUGCUUCUAAUGUACUUAGACAACACUUGCUGAUUUUAAUUUUAUGAACUCAUCUAAAUUUGUUUUCAUUUGUUCAAUUAUAGCCAAGUGUGAAAUUUCGAUGAGAAUUCAUGUUUAUAGUAUUUUAAUCAGCCUAUCCAGUGAUCCAUUUCCUUUUCACAGACCCAGAAUAAUUCUGCCUCACAUUGGCUAUUCGUUUGCAAGUGUUCUUGAAAAAAAAAAAAAAAAAAAUUUUCAAUUUCAAAUUACAUAUACUUAAACCGCAUUUUAUACUUGAAAGGCUUAAGCAAAAAGCAUUUAUUUAAAUUUAUUGAUAGCAUAUGUUGUCUUUUUUUUACAGUUAGUACCGAAAAAAUAAUACUAAAACUGUGGCAUCGAUGUCAUUGUUCCAUUUAAAUUAUCACCGUAUUAAAUCAAGACUUGUGAAUGCUCUUUAAUCGACUUUUACUGGGAGGUUAUAAUGUUACUGUACCUACCCGAAUUUUAGAACCUCACCUUAUUAAUUGUUAAUAUUGGAACAUUGAUAAAAUCACUUGAAAGAAAUUUUGUCCCAAGAUACAUUUACUCCCAAGGACCUUGUUGUGUUGCUCUUUGUAUUUAUUCAAUACUUUUUUUUUGUGUGUAAAAGUGUGAAUUACGCAAAAUUAAUUUUGUGGCACUCGGCCCAUCAUUGAUGAACAGCCUUCAAUGAGCAAAUACAAUUUUGUUAUUUUUCAGGAGUGAAUUUGUCCGACCACAAGCAAUUGUUCCAAAUAUUGAUGAUUACAUUUUGAACAACUCAAAAUCAUUCACAGCAACUUUAUGGGCUGACAGUUGCACAAACAUUCGCAACAUGAUUGAGAAUCUCGUGUACCAGAUUGAAACUACGGAGGGUGAACCAGAUUCAGAGGUAUGGUAGUUUUUGAACUUAAAACCGAAUGUUUUCUUUUGAAUUUAUAUGUCUUUUAUAUAUGCCUCAUUAAAUUGCAGCUUGUAAUGUGGCAUACACUCCAUUCAAUGUUUCAGGCACAUUGCAUUUCA